GUCAGUAAAACGCUGUUUCCAGAGCCUGCCAGGUUUCGCCCCAGUGGCCACACCUAUGCCUGGCAGGUGCUGGUCCGAGCCCCUAGCGCCAGCAAAAGAAAGGAGGCGGACGCAACAUUCUCGAAUUACUAGGAGAAGGAGGGAGGCUUUCCCUUCCCCCCAGUGCCCCAUGUACCAACGCGUCUCGCCAUACCCCUUGCCCCUCUUCCAGCAGCUGACGGAGUAAUUCGAGUAGGAAUCGAAAGAUUUGGAGGCGCCGGGGGAGAAACCUGCGGAGCGCUCUCCGAGCCUGUGGCGUCCCAGGAAGACUCCGAGCGGGGCCAGGGAAGUUCUCUGGAGGACAUGGGGUGGAUACCCAGGUCUCCUUCCCUGGGUGAAAUAAGAACUGAAAAUCUAAAAAUAAAAUAAAUAAAAUAAAAUAGAAAACACAGAGAAGCAACAAAAAAGC
rnacentral:lncRNA from 1 species